CUAUCAAAUAUCACAUAUAUUUAUUUAUAUUUUGCAAUUACAAUGAUUCUCUGAAAUAAAAUUCUCUUCUCGUAUUUGUAUAUAAAGAUUCAUGUAAAAAAAGUAUUAUUCAGCGAUGAUCCAAGAUUUUAUAUAGUUCGAUAAACUAGUAAAAUUUCGAUCGUAUAAAUAGAGUUCCAUGGAUAAAAAAGAACAGCUGAUCGGCUACAGUGCAUUGGGCGGUUAUGUAAUGGGCGUGUUUUCGUGUGCAAUGACUCGAUUUCAUCUACGAGGAACCGAAUAUUUGCACACAUUCUAAUGCGCACGCUUAUGCAAUCUGUUUUUUGGCAGAUUUAUUUGUAACUCGUCGACCUGUUAAAUGUAUCUUUUAGUAAAAGUCAGUGAAAGUAAGCUCUUCUGCUCGUUGAAAUUUUCAUAACGACGAAUCAAUCAAUAUUCUAUCAAAGAAAUUAUUUUAAUCGUUUGAAAUCAAUAAGUCAUCAUUCAAAAUCGUUCUUUCUAUUUGUAUUUACUGAAAUUUUCAAUGAUAAAAAAUAUAAGUUACAUAAAGUAAAAUGUUCUGUAAUCUAAGGGUACUGAAUAAAAAGUACAAAAAAUUAUUUUUUUAUAUUUCUUACAAUUUUUAUCAUAAUCGUUGUAGCAAAUGUUUCGACAAAUAUUUUGUAUUCUGUUUUCAUAUACAAAAUUUUGGGAAGACGAAAAGACUAACGUAAAACACAUAUACAGAAAAUAGAGAGAAAAGUAAAGGUGCACGUUUCGUCGUGACCCAAUCUCGUCUCAUUUAGGCUGAGUGGAGUAGACUCAUCCAAUUUGGACUACUCAGCGAACCUGAAUUUCGCUACAAAUGUCGAAACUCUGUCGGCGAGCGAUGCUUCUACACGUAUCGUGGCAUAAAUCUUGCUUAAGAAGGAAAAAAAAUCACUAUUAAGUUUCCUUAAACUUCCACUAAAGAUAUAACCUCGACUUAGUCUUAUCAGAUAAUUACAAUUUACAUGCUAAUUAUUUAAAACAAUGUUAGUCUAUAACCGAGGAUUAAAUUCAUGAAGAAAGUUCUCGCUGUAAUAAGAUUAAAUUUGAUGAGCGAACGCGAUAAAAGUCGCAUAUUCGCGCGAUUAAUUGAGAGAAAAGUUGAAUAUUGGAAGAAAGCUAACGAGAAAAGAGAAAACGUACGAUUACAUGUUAUUUAUAUACUUCGAUCGACAAUUAAUGACUAUUUUUGGAAGAAUUUUUUUAAAUAUAAUCGACGCCAGAGGUUAAGAAUCGGACAUUAUGGUGAACCAGAGAGGACGUUCGAGGUUGUGUCCUCAGGUUGCAUAAUGCUGUCGUUAAAUUUCGACGUAGGUCUCAGCAACGUGCCAGAAACGAAAAUAUCUCUACGAUCAGGGAUCCGGACAGAUCUAUUCGAUGGUUUAAAAUCAGUGAUAUCUUGAGUUGGAUAUAAUUUAAAGUGUGUACUAUUUGAAUAUAAAUAUUGGAUAUCCUUUAUAAAGCGAGCCGGCGUACGCAUGGUUCAACCGAUACGUGUUUCGCGUGAUAGCCGAUCGUCUGGUAUUCGUGAAAGGAAUUCCAAGGGCACUAGUAUCUGAACCUCGAAAGGACGGUCAACGCACCAUGGAUUUCUUUGUGCGAUUCAACCGCAUUUCUAAAUCGUUUUAACGUACCAUUAAAAAACGGUUAGGUUUGAUAGAUUCGAAGAAUGAAAAAAUUGUUAUCGAGAACUAUUUUACAAAAAAUUAUUUUAAUAUUUAAACAAAUUAUUUUCUCACCUCAGAAAUGAUUUAUAUAAUUCGAAAAAACAAACACAAUCACAAUGAAACCACAUGCAUUUAUAACUUACACGGCCAUAAAGUAUAAAUUAACCUAGUAUCUCAUCAAUAAUGAACAGACAAAAACUAAAAUACAAUCUGUCUUCGCAUUAACGCUUAAAGAUGGACACGCCUAUAUUUUCCAUUCGAGAGGAAUAUAAUUACCGAUUGGAAAAGAAAAUCACAGGAUAUCCCGGAUGACGAAGCUGAAUCAAUCGUUAAAGAUGAAGAGAUUAAGUUGAAUGUUCCAAACAAAGGAACUCGAACCGGACAAUGGCUUCUUUCGCUCUCGAUGCUUCUAGUGAUCUUUGUCGCAGGAAGAGAGAGCGAAUAACCAAAGUAACAAGGAACCAUAACACGAUAGAUGAGCAACUGUAAUGAUAUUUUCUCGUGUAGUGCGACCAAUCGUGUACCGGUAAUUAAAGGGCGUGGAAACUAGGUGGCAGUGCGCUUGGCUACCGGGCCAUUUUUUUCUUUCGACACAGAUACGAUGAAAAGUGCGCCGCAUAUUGUGCACAUUGAAAAGAACACUACACUGUGUAUAAUACUAGAUGGUAAGCGUAGAAAAUUUUCACUCAAUAGUGAGAAACUUGAUGUCGCAAAAGAAUACAAGCCGAGACCUUUCUCUCCCUUCUAAUAACUAAUUUUGAUAUGCAAAAUUAAUUAAUGAAAGAAUACAUUAGUUCUCCGUUAUUAUUUUCAUCGUUAUGUUAUUUUAGUAUAAUAUGAUAUUUCACAUUGUAAAUUGUAGAAAUAAAAUUAUAGAAUAAUUUUAAUAAUUAACAUUUUUAAUAAUAUAGAAUUUUCAAAUUAAAUCAAGGAUUCUUCUUGAAAUAUAAUUAAUUGCAUGGAAAAAGAAUAAUUAUACUUAACUUUUUUCUCUUUUAAUUGAAUGUCAAUUUAAAAACAAAGAUUUUAAUUGAAAUUUAAUAACGAAACUUUUAUUUAUAUAUGUAUAAAUACAUAUGAAAUAAUCAAUAUUAAAUUUAAUUAAAUUUUAGUUAAAUUAAAUUUGAUAAUUUAAUUUUGUGCAUUACAAAUAUUAUGUAAAUUAAUAUUAUAAUUAUAAUCAACUUUGAAUUUAAAAUUAAGUUAAAUAAUAAUUAAAUGGGAUUCUUCAAUUAAAAGAAAAAAAGUUUAUUGUAGAAAGCUUUUAUUCAAUCAAAGCUUAAAAGAAUUCAAUAAACACCACUUCUUUUUGUCCAAUUACUAAUUGGCUUAACUUAAGGGGACUUACUUUUUUAUUCAUUUUUUUCUUUCGUCCAAUCUUUUAUUUAAUUCUCAUUAGUUGAAAUAGCAUUGAAAGAAAGUUAAUAAAUAUGUACAAUUAAAAUAUUUAUUUUCCAUAAAUUGUUAAUAUUAUCUAUAUUAUUUUUCUAAAAUUCACAUUAAUAUCUAUUUUUUAUUAUUUCUUAACGAUUUAAUCUUCGUUCUCAAAAUACACAAAGCAAAAUACUCAAGCUAAAUCAACGAAAUCACAAAAUUCCUGUCAACAUAACCUACUUUACGAAACCUAAUCAACUAAUUCACAAACGCUUCCUUCGAACACCCUUCAAAUAUUCCUAAACCUAAUUCAACAGAAUUCCCAAACACAUCUCCCAAACACAUCUCAAAUAUUCUCAACCUUCUGCUUAUUUGCAAAUUUCACCUUCCCAUCUUUCCUAACCUCUUUCCCCGCCAACUUUUAUUUCUCCAAUUUCUUAUUUGAGAAAUUACGAGCAUACAUCGAGACACUAUCUGUUCUGAUAUCAAUAUCGAUAAACAGAAAUGGGAACGAAAUUUCUGGAUUUUCUAUUAAACUUGUUUCACUUUCUGUACGUGUAUAUGAAUAUGUGCACCAGACGUCAAAAGGUAAAGUUACAAUCAUCGAGGCUAUUCGGCCAUUACAGAAUGUUGGAUCGGUAACGACGGGCGGAUACUUUCAUUUUUCUCUUUUCUUUUCUUCGUUUUCUCGAACAAAAUUAACCAGCUACUCUUCACUGUGGACUUUAAGAAAGGUUACCGGAUGAGGGUCAGGUAUUCUUUCAACGUAUAUCCUUCACCAUGUAAGUGUUAAGUACAAGAUCUGCGAGGUUACUAGCGAGAUUAGACCUACAACACCAAUAAUCGAAUAAUAACAAAGUCGACCAGCUUAUUUCCUCUUAUACCCAUCUAUUUCGGAAGCGGCUUAUUCUACAAGAUCAGUAUCAGAGGCCGCCACGGUUCAGACUACAUCGGUUAUAAUCUAUCUUUUUUGAAAUUACUCGUUAUUUUGAAUGGAUACUCGAUGAAUGGGUAUUCUGGAAUAGUUUAAACGUUUCUGGAAGUAAUUUUAGAAGAACCAGUAUAUUUUGGGGCGUUGCUACGUUAUUACAAGAUUUUAAGGUUAAGAAAUAGGUUAUGUAGGAGUAGAGUAAUUUAAUAUUCUAACCUAAUCACUGAAAUAAUUUUGCACUAUCGAAGUUUCUGUAAGGAUCAAUUAAAUUUGAAUAAACUGGACGAUUAUGCGAACACUUCCGUGUUCUGUACCCGAAGAAAAUGAUUCUGAGUGCGGACGAUAAAGAUAUCCGCUGCUUGGCGAAUUAUCGGAAAUACGAUGUUGUCGUCGCAUGUAACUGCGUGUAAACGUGUGCAUGAUCAUAAAUCACAAGCAAUGUAACUAUGCAUUUUACUUGCAACGAUGGGGAUGUCAGCAAUACUUGAAGAUUUACACGAAACAUUUUCGUUACUACGCUAUAUUUUUAUUUCACGGAAAAUCAUUGAGAAACAGUUAAAGUGAUAAAAAUAAAAAUAAAAUUAAUAAAAUAAAAUAAACAAAGAAGAAACUAAAAAAAGUAAAUAAAACAAAGGAAGAAAGAAAAAAAUGAAUGAAAAAUAUCAAAGAAAAAUAAAGACAAGGUGAAAGGAAAAUAAUAAAAAAUGAAAGGAAUGAUAGUAAUAAAGAUGAAAAAGGAGAGAAAGUACCUUAAGUGCCGGAUCCUCAAUUUUGUCCACGUAAACGUAUGACAAAGGUACAGACCAAGAGAAAACGAUGAAAAAUCGGUAGAUGGCAAAGCCCCGUAACAAACACGCAAGAGAAAAUUGUAGCAUUUGCGGCACGUGAGAGGAUUGCAUGCAGUCCGCGUAAAAAGUCUAAGAAUCUAUGUGUAAAUAUAGUACAAAGAAACGGUCAGGUAAUUCAAAUGGAACUAUAUGAUAAUUAUGAUAUAUAUAUAUGUACAGAACGAUGCAUGCAAGUUGAAACGGACUAUUUUCUGAUUCUAAUUGAACGAAAAUGUUAGGAGAAAGGUGAUCAGAAUUCUCCAAGACAAUAAUAAAUGUGCGACAAUAAAUUUAUCAAUAAUACUAAUAAUUUACAAAUGGCAAAUUAUAGAUUAUGGAAUUUCACGUUUCUUAAAAUUCACCCUGUAUACAUUAAAGCACAGAGAUAUUUCCUUCAAACAUGGCUGACAUAUCAUAAGAGAUAUUAAGCUCGCUUAACGAAGAUUGCAGUACGAAAGUUAGUAACGCUUUCUGAAACCCAGUUGAAAGAUAUUCAAACUGGUUCACGAGCUUUCUGCGUUAUAUUCAUUUCCAUUUUUUACCACAUGGUAAGAAAAAGGAGAAAAAAAAUGAGAAGAAGGAAAAAGAAGAACUUGGCUCAUUAGAACUUAAAAUAACAGAAAUGAGAAAAAUUUGGAAAAAAGUAUAGAUAAUAAAGAAGUUUGGAUCUUUGA